rnacentral:tRNA from 1 species
GCUUCCUUAGCUCAGUGGUUAGAGCACUGGUCUUGUAAACCAGGGCUCAUGAGUUCGAAUCUCAUAGGGGGCU